UACGUAGGGUGCAAGCGUUGUCCGGAAUUAUUGGGCGUAAAGAGCUCGUAGGCGGUCUGUCGCGUCUGCUGUGAAAACUCGGGGCUUAACCCCGGGCCUGCAGUGGGUACGGGCAGACUAGAGUGCGGUAGGGGAGACUGGAAUUCCUGGUGUAGCGGUGAAAUGCGCAGAUAUCGGGAGGAACACCUGUGGCGAAAGCGGCGCACUGGACCAUAACUGACGCUGAGGCGCGAAAGCUAGGGGAGCAAACAGG
rnacentral:rRNA from 1 species